UGGCAGGCGCGGCUAUAAUGCAGUCGAGCGAAUGGAUUAAGAGCUUGCUCUUAUGAAGUUAGCGGCGGACGGGUGAGUAACACGUGGGUAACCUGCCCAUAAGACUGGGAUAACUCCGGGAAACCGGGGCUAAUACCGGAUAACAUUUUGAACCGCAGGGUUCGAAAUUGAAAGGCGGCUUCGGCUGUCACUUAUGGAUGGACCCGCGUCGCAUUAGCUAGUUGGUGAGGUAACGGCUCACCAAGGCAACGAUGCGUAACCGACCUGAGAGGGUGAUCGGCCACACUGGGACUGAGACACGGCCCAGACUCCUACGGGAGGCAGCAAUAGGGAAUCUUCCGCAGUGGACGAAAGUCUGACGGAGCAACGCCGCGUGAGUGAUGAAGGCUUUCGGGUCGUAAAACUCUGUUGUUAGGGAAGAACAAGUGCUAGUUGAAUACGCUAGAACCUUGACGGUACCUGGCCGGAUCGCCGCGAAAACAAGGUGCAAACAGGCGCGAUAAGACUUAGGUGGAGAACUUUAUGCGAAAUGGGGGGGCGUAAGCCCGCACAAAUGUUUUUUUUUAUGUCGGGUGUGAGAGCAAGGGUGA
rnacentral:rRNA from 1 species